GACGAACGCUGGCGGCGCGCCUAACACAUGCAAGUCGAACGAGCGAGAGAGAGCUUGCUUUCUUGAGCGAGUGGCGAGCGGGUGAGUAACGCGUGAGGAACCUGCCUCAAAGAGGGGGACAACAGUUGGAAACGACUGCUAAUACCGCAUAAGCCCACGGUGCCGCAUGGCACAGAGGGAAAAGGAGCAAUCCGCUUUGAGAUGGCCUCGCGUCCGAUUAGCUAGUUGGUGAGGUAACGGCCCACCAAGGCGACGAUCGGUAGCCGGACUGAGAGGUUGAACGGCCACAUUGGGACUGAGACACGGCCCAGACUCCUACGGGAGGCAGCAGUGGGGAAUAUUGCACAAUGGGGGAAACCCUGAUGCAGCGACGCCGCGUGGAGGAAGAAGGUCUUCGGAUUGUAAACUCCUGUUGUUGGGGAAGAUAAUGACGGUACCCAACAAGGAAGUGACGGCUAACUACGUG
rnacentral:rRNA from 1 species